GUUAGAGCAGGUUUAAAGUACACACAACAGCAAGAUUGGUUUGGUUUUUUGUGCCUGGAGAACAUGGACACAAACCAUUUGCAGUGACCUGAGAAGGCAGCACCCGAGUAAGAAUGCACGUUGAGGGGGAGAAUGCUGCAAGUGGCAGGGGUGAUGGUGCCCAGAUGAGGAAGGAAAGGACACAGUAUGUCUGAGUAAUGACCUUUGUGCUGGAAUUGUUUUUGGUAUGAUUUCAAACUUGGGUCAAGCAGCUUCUCCCAUUCACACUGAUGCUCCAGUCCCCAUCUUCACCACUUCCCACUCCCUGACACCUCAAGCCUUCCUUGUCUGUCCUUAUCAUUCACCUUGCCAGCAAAUAAAAGGAGAGGGGCUGAGAGUGGAACUGCUGGGAGGAGCACUGGGAAGGCUUGUGAGUAUGCAAGCACAAGUGUAUAUAAAAUCAGGGCCAGGAGUAGCUAACAAUUUACUUAGAAAUAUAAAGCCAAAGUGAGGUAGGAUCCAGGGUGGGAAGUGGGGAUGGCUGGGGUGGGAGGACUGGUGGGUAGAAAAUGGAGACAACUGUACUUUAACAACAGUAAAAAUGGGGAAAAAAGUGGAAAAAAUUAAACUUAGCUAUAUGCAUUUGCAAAGAAAUAAAGUAGGUUUACUAUUCCCUAUUUUA